rnacentral:lncRNA from 1 species
CCACAUCAAUGGUCUUUCCAGUUAAAAUCGAAUAUAAUAAGACCAUUCUCUCUAACGAGAUUGUAGUCCCAUGCGACUAGGCAUAAGACUAAAACGAAUGAAAUAGAACCAUACCUUUGCAAGUGGUGUCAAAUAUUCUCUUUGACAAGUGUGGAUUCCUUGCUUUGACACAAUCUACUUAGAACCUAGAACUGUAAGUUCCUCAAGAAAUUCUUUCAAAUUUUCAGGCUCGAUGUUGC